rfam:HIV-1 isolate CRF01_AE/B from Thailand gag protein (gag) gene, complete cds; pol protein (pol) gene, partial cds; and vif protein (vif), vpr protein (vpr), tat protein (tat), rev protein (rev), vpu protein (vpu), envelope glycoprotein (env)
GGCCAGGAGGAAAGAAAAAGUAUAAACUAAAACAUCUAGUAUGGGCAAGCAGAGAGUUGGAAAGAUUCGCAAUUAACCCUAGCC